rnacentral:rRNA from 1 species
GUGGAUUAGAUACCCUGGUAGUCCACGCCGUAAACGAUGUCGAUUUGGAGGCUGUGUCCUUGAGACGUGGCUUCCGGAGCUAACGCGUUAAAUCGACCGCCUGGGGAGUACGGCCGCAAGGUUAAAACUCAAAUGAAUUGACGGGGGCCCGCACAAGCGGUGGAGCAUGUGGUUUAAUUCGAUGCAACGCGAAGAACCUUACCUGGCCUUGACAUGUCUGGAAUCCUGUAGAGAUACGGGAGUGCC